rnacentral:rRNA from 1 species
UAAAAGUAUUUUCUGCCCUAUGAUUUAAAUUUAAAUGGCUGCAGUAUUUUGACUGUGCAAAGGUAGCAUAAUAAUUAGUCUUUUAAUUGAGGACUGGAAUGAAAGGAUAUAUGAAAAGUAUUUUUUAUUAUUUUUAUCAUUAUAAUUUUAUUUUUGAGUAAGAAAGCUUAAUUUUGUUUUAGGGACGAAAAGACCCUAUAGAACUUUAGUUAUUAAAUUAUUUAAUUAGAUUUUAGUAUAUAUAUAAGUUAUAUUUUUAAUAUUUUAAUUGGGGGGAUUAGUAAAUUUAAACUUUAUUUUUUUUAUUCAUUUUAUUUAUGAUUGUUAUGAUCCAUUAUUUAUUUAUGAUUAAAAGAUUAAGUUACCUUAGGGAUAACAGCGUAAUUUUAAUGGGGAGAUCAUAUCUAUAUUAAAGUUUGCGACCUCGAUGUUGAAUUAAGAAAAGUUUAAGGGGGAGUUUCUUUAAUUACUAAGUCUGUUCGACU